UCGGUGUGAUUUUGAUUUGGUAUAAUUUGUUUUGUCACAAUUGUUUAAACUAACAUAGUUUCGGAAAAACGAGUAACUAACAAAAAUAUGGACAUAUGUCUGAAUUAAAUUAUCAUUAUUAUAUUUACAUGUCUUCGAUCCAGAGAAUAACGACAAUGGGCUGGUGUCGGAACAUAAAAAAACUUGGUGUUGAAUUCAAGUGGACCAGCAUCCACUGAGCUGCCACAGCAGGUGCCGAGGAACUAGUCGAGGUUUGAUGAAGUUCUCUCACGGACUACGGUACGCCAUCCUUAAUAAUAACCGAUCGUGGAACUAAUUUUUUUAACAGACUUCCAAAAAAAGGAAGAGGUUCUCAAUUCGACUGUAUUUUUUUUUUAUGUAUGUUACAUCAGAACUU
rnacentral:misc_RNA from 1 species